ensembl:lincRNA 1700057H15Rik RIKEN cDNA 1700057H15 gene
GUACUCAUCCUGGACAGCAGCUCAGCUGGGUCUUGGUUCAGGCCCUGAGAAGCCCACAGCAGAGUUCAACAGGGCUCUAAGCACAUCAGAUGGACCACACAAGCCAGCUGUGAGCCCGAAGCAAUUCGAGCCAUUAAGAGAAAGAAAAAGGAGCCGAGCAGAGGAGCCUGGAAGCUGAGGCGAAGCUAAUCCCUGACAGACAGACAGACUCACUUUGCCUCUUGGCCCAUCUCCACAGAUGCUGGGCAGACACACUCCUGCCUUGCAAGAGUGAAUUAAGAAUGCCAUUGGAUCCAUCAGAGUUUUGAGAAAUGACUUAAGGGAGGAAGACCUUAUUUUGACUCAUGGUUUCACAGGACUUAGUCCAUGGUCACUUCGGGUCCCUCAUCUCUGGACCCACAGCAAGAUGGAGCAUCGAGGUGAAGGUUGCAGCAUAGAGAGCUACGCACUGAUGGUCGCUAGGAAGAGACUGGGGACCAGAUGAACUUCAAAGGUGAUCUGUGACCUAACUGCUCCAGCUUCACUUCCGAGCUGCUUCUACCUCUCAAUGGGGCCUUCAUAUUAUGAAUGCAGCAAUAAAUUCAUCCACCGAUUA